rnacentral:tRNA from 1 species
GCGGGAGUAGUUCAAUGGUAGAACCUCAGCCGUCCAAGCUGAUGACGCGGGUUCGAUUCCCGUCUCCCGCUCCA